GACGAACGCUGGCGGCGUGCUUAACACAUGCAAGUCGAACGGAAAGGCCCUGCUUUUGUGGGGUGCUCGAGUGGCGCACGGGUGAGUAACACGUGAGUAUCCUGCCCUUGACUUUGGGAUAACUUCAGGAAACUGGGGCUCAUACCGGAUAGGAGCUCCUGCUGCAUGGUGGGGGUUGGAAAGUUUCGGCGGUUGGGGAUGGACUCGCGGCUUAUCAGCUUGUUGGUGGGGUAGUGGCUUACCAAGGCUUUGACGGGUAGCCGGCCUGAGAGGGGGACCGGCCACAUUGGGACUGAGAGACGGCCCAGACUCCUACGGGAGGCAGCAGGGGGGAAUAUUGCACAAUGGGCGGAAGCCUGAUGCAGCAACGCCGCGUGCGGGAUGACGGCCUUCGGGUUGUAAACCGCUUUCGCCUGUGACGAAGCGUGAGUGACGGUAAUGGGUAAAGAAGCACCGGCUAACUACGUG
rnacentral:rRNA from 1 species